rnacentral:misc_RNA from 1 species
GUGAAUUAAAUGAUGGUGUAUCGGACCUUCGGCAAGGCCCUAGCAUCAAAUCAUAUCCAUAACACCUGUGAACUGUAAGGACUGUCUUGAUACGAAGGUAUUAGGCAAGUCAUCGUCUGCCCAUUUUAUACAAACAAUUAAUGUAACAAACGUAGUCUUAUUAUAAUCUAAUA